rnacentral:rRNA from 1 species
GCAUGGCUGUCGUCAGCUCGUGUCGUGAGAUGUUGGGUUAAGUCCCGCAACGAGCGCAACCCCCGUCCUUAGUUGCUACCAUUUAGUUGAGCACUCUAAGGAGACUGCCGGUGAUAAGCCGCGAGGAAGGUGGGGAUGACGUCAAGUCCUCAUGGCCCUUACGGGCUGGGCUACACACGUGCUACAAUGGCGGUGACAAUGGGAUGCUAAGGGGCGACCCUUCGCAAAUCUCAAAAAGCCGUCUCAGUUCGGAUUGGGCUCUGCAACUCGAGCCCAUGAAGUUGGAAUCGCUAGUAAUCGUGGAUCAGC